GGGCCCGCACAAGCGGUGGAGCAUGUGGUUUAAUUCGAUGCAACGCGAAGAACCUUACCAGGGCUUGACAUACUACAAACUCUUUUGAAAAAAAAUGAAGUGCCUUCGGGAAUGUAGAUACAGGUGGUGCAUGGCUGUCGUCAGCUCGUGUCGUGAGAUGUUGGGUUAAGUCCCGCAACGAGCGCAACCCUUAUCUUUAGUUACGUUUUACGAAACUCUAAAGAGACUGCCGGUGAUAAACCGGAGGAAGGUGAGGAUGACGUCAAGUCAGCAUGCCCCUUACACCCUGGCUACACACGUGCUACAAUGGCCGGGACAAUGAGUUGCGAUCUCGCGAGAGUCAGCU
rnacentral:rRNA from 1 species